GGGGACCAUGGGGGCUAGAUGGUGGUGUUAACACUAUAGGGUCAUGAAUUCAUGUUUGUGUUCCUGACCCUAUAGUGAUCAUUUAAGGUAAUGCUGACUUUGGUCUCUCUAACACUGUGGCAUGUUCCCUUUCUUCUACACUCGCUACAUACAGCUUUUCUCUGUCCCAGACCAUAUACCAGGAGCCUGCUAGUAAGAAGGUAAGG